ACAGAGCUGACGUCAAACUACUAUGGAAGCAGUGUUACAGCCAUCAAGGGGGACUCUACUGAUGUGAUAGUAAACUCAACAUCGAGCCCCGUCUCCUUAUACCAACAGCUCUUGUUUUAUGGUCAACAUGGGGAAGAUGUAACAGGACUGAUACUACAGAAAAUCACUCCUUUCAGUCAGAAAUGUUAUAGAGAGGGACAACAAAAAUGAGAAAGUCCUAAAGUAUCCAAGAAGAGCCAAACAGGACAUUGUGGUAAUCCUUGGCCACUCUUCGACAAUUAAUGAUAAAGACUUUGAAAUAUCUGAAGAUAUCUUAAGUAUUCUAAAGAAAGAGAAUCCAGCCUCGAGGUUCA